GCCUGGGUGGCUCAGUUGUUUAAGCGUCUGACUUCAGCUCAGGUCACGAUCUCCCUGUGGGUUCGAGCCCUGCAUCUGGCU
rnacentral:tRNA from 1 species